rnacentral:rRNA from 1 species
GGCUUAGAAGCAGCCACUCAUUUAAAGAGUGCGUAAUAGCUCACUGGUCGAGUGACCCUGCGCGGAAAAUUCAACGGGGCUAAAAUCAUAACCGAAGCUUGGGAUGCAUUAAUGCAUGGUAGGGGAGCGUUGUGUAAGGGGUGAAGUCACAGCGAAAGCGGUGGUGGACAUUACACAAGUGAGAAUGCCGGAAUGAGUAGCGCGAAUUGUGUGAGAAUCAUAAUGGCCGAAAGUCUAAGGUUUUUGGAGGAAGGUUCGUCCGCUCCAAGUUAGUCGGGAGCUAAGGUCAGGCCGAAAGGCGUAGCCGAUGCACAUACGGUAGAGAUUCCGUAACCGUCAAAAGAUUUAAGCAAAGGGACACUUUGGGAAGGUACAAGCCAGGCGUUGGUAGCCCUGGCCGUAAGGGACUGAAGUUUAGUAGGGAAGUGUACUGGAACAGAGGCGAGAAAAGCUUUGUGUAUAUCUGAGAUGCCCGUACCGCAAACCGACACAGGUAGAUGGGAAGAGAAUUCUAAGGCCAACGGGAGAAGGGUUGUUAAGGAACUCGGCAAGUUGACCCCGUAACUUCGGAAUAAGGGGUGCUCAUGAAAGUGAGCCGCAGAGAAUAGGCCCAGGCAACUGUUUACCAAAAACACAGGUUUGUGCUAAAUCGAAAGAUGACGUAUACGAGCUGACGCCUGCCCGGUGCUGGAAGGUUAAAAGGAGAUGUGCAAGCAUUGAAUUGAAGCCCCAGUGAACGGCGGCCGUAACUAUAACGGUCCUAAGGUAGCGAAAUUCCUUGUCAGGUAAGUUCUGACCCGCACGAAUGGUGUAAUGAUUUGGGCACUGUCUCAACAGCCCGCCCGGCGAAAUUGUAGUACCGGUGAAGAUGCCGGUUACCCGCGACAAGACGGAAAGACCCCAUGGAGCUUUACUGUAGCUUAAUAUUGGAUUUUGAUAUUUCAUGUACAGAAUAGGUGGGAGACUGAGAAGCAGAGGCGUCAGCUUCUGUGGAGUCGCCUUUGGGAUACCACUCUUGAAGUGUUGAAAUUCUAACCUGCAGCCAUGAAACUGGCUGGGGGACAUUGUUAGGUGGGCAGUUUGACUGGGGCGGUCGCCUCCAAAAAGGUAUCGGAGGCGCUCAAAGGUUCGCUCAGCAUGGACGGAAACCAUGCCCCUGAGUGUAAACGCAAAAGCGAGCCUAACUGCGAGACUGACGGGUCGAGCAGUAACGAAAGUUGGAGUUAGUGAUCCGGCGGUAUGUGAGUGGAAAUGCCGUCGCUCAACGGAUAAAAGCUACCCUGGGGAUAACAGGCUGAUCU